UGGGGAAUAUUGCACAAUGGGCGAAAGCCUGAUGCAGCAACGCCGCGUGAGUGAUGAAGGUCUUCGGAUUGUAANGCUCUGUCUUUUGGGACGAUAAUGACGGUACCAAAGGAGGAAGCCACGGCUAACUACGUGCCAGCAGCCGCGGUAAUACGUAGGUGGCGAGCGUUGUCCGGAUUUACUGGGCGUAAAGGGUGCGUAGGCGGAUGUUUAAGUGAGAUGUGAAAUACCCGGGCUUAACUUGGGUGCUGCAUUUCAAACUGGAUAUCUAGAGUGCAGGAGAGGAGAAUGGAAUUCCUAGUGUAGCGGUGAAAUGCGUAGAGAUUAGGAAGAACACCAGUGGCGAAGGUGAUUCUCUGGACUGUAACUGACGCUGAGGCACGAAAGCGUGGGUAGCAAA
rnacentral:rRNA from 1 species